rfam:Caenorhabditis japonica strain DF5081 Contig18202.50, whole genome shotgun sequence.
GUCAUUCUGGCCGAGUGGUCUAAGGCGCUGCGUUCAGGUCGCAGUCCUCUCAGGAGGGCGCAGGUUCGAACCCUGCGGAUGACA